AUUGAACGCUGGCGGCAGGCUUAACACAUGCAAGUCGAGCGGAGAGAGGUAGCUUGCUACUGAUCUUAGCGGCGGACGGGUGAGUGAUGCUUAGGAAUCUGCCUAUUAGUGGGGGACAACAUUUCGAAAGGAAUGCUAAUACCGCAUACGUCCUACGGGAGAAAGCAGGGGAUCUUCGGACCUUGCGCUAAUAGAUGAGCCUAAGUCGGAUUAGCUAGUUGGUGGGGUAAAGGCCUACCAAGGCGACGAUCUGUAGCGGGUCUGAGAGGAUGAUCCGCCACACUGGGACUGAGACACGGCCCAGACUCCUACGGGAGGCAGCAGUGGGGAAUAUUGGACAAUGGGCGGAAGCCUGAUCCAGCCAUGCCGCGUGUGUGAAGAAGGCCUUAUGGUUGUAAAGCACUUUAAGCGAGGAGGAGGCUACUUUAGUUAAUACCUAGAGAUAGUGGACGUUACUCGCAGAAUAAGUACCGGCUAACUCUGUGCCAGCCGCCGCUGUAA
rnacentral:rRNA from 1 species